UAAAACCAUUCAGUAGCCCCCUUGGGGAUAGGCGCAAAGGUCGACAUCAAAGGAAUGAUGGGGUCCGCCACAACCGGUGGAGCACUGGUUUAAUCGGAGCCACGCGGAGAACCUUACCAAGGCUUGACAUAUAACCGCCGUGCUGUGAAAGCAGUAUUCUCUUCGGAGACGGUUAUACAGGUGGUGCAUGGUGGUCGUCAGCUCGGGUGUGAGAUGUUGGGUUAAGUCCCGCAACCGAGCGCAACCCCUAUUGUUAGUUGCCAUCAUUAAGUUGGGCACUCUACCGAGACUGCCGGUGACAAACCGGAGGAAGGUGGGGAUGACGUCAAAUCAUCAUGCCCCUUAUGUCUUGGGCUACACACGUGCUACAAUGGCCAGUACAACGGGUUGUUAAAGAGCGAUCUGGAGCUAAUCCCACAAAACUGGUCUCAGUUCGGAUUGUAGGCUGCAAUUCGCCUGCAUGAAGCUGGAAUCGCUAGUAAUCGCGGAUCAGCAUGCCGCGGUGAAUACGUUCCCGGGCCUGUACACACCGCCCGUCACACCACGAAAGCUGGCAACACCCGAAGCCGGUGGGCUAACCCUUUUGGGAAGCAGCCGUCGAAGGUGGGGUUAGUGAUUGGGGUGAAGUCGUAACAAGGUAGCCGUAUCGGAAGGUGCGGCUGGAUCACCUCCUUU
rfam:Dethiobacter alkaliphilus AHT 1 ctg3, whole genome shotgun sequence.